UACGUAGGGGGCUAGCGUUGUCCGGAUUUUUAUUGGGCGUAAAGAGCGUGUAGGCGGCCAGGUAGGUCUGCUGUGAAAACUCGAGGCUCAACCUCGAGAUGUCGGCGGAAACCAUCUGGCUAGAGUCCGGAAGAGGAGAGUUGGAAUUCCUGGUGUAGCGGUGAAAUGCGCAGAUAUCAGGAAGAACACCCGUGGCGAAGGCGGCUCUCUGGGACGGUACUGACGCUGAGACGCGAAAGCGUGGGGAGCGAACAGG
rnacentral:rRNA from 1 species